rnacentral:rRNA from 1 species
GACGAAGGGGGCUAGCGUUGUUCGGAAUUACUGGGCGUAAAGCGCGUGUAGGCGGUUGCCAUAGUCAGGUGUGAAAGCCUUGAGCUUAACUCAAGAAAUGCACUUGAUACUGGGUGACUAGAGGACCGGAGAGGAUAGUGGAAUUCCCAGUGUAGUGGUGAAAUACGUAGAGAUUGGGAAGAACACCAGUGGCGAAGGCGGCUAUCUGGACGGUUACUGACGCUAAGACGCGAAAGCGUGGGGAGCAAACAGG